AUAUGAGUCAUAUUUUUCUCUUUUUCCUCUUCUAGAUUAUUCACCAAGCCGAUUUUUUUAUUAUUGACAUUUGCUGCAUCCUUCUUCUUAUAUGGAUGAUUAUUGAAAAAAGUG
rnacentral:ribozyme from 11 species